AAAGUCGUAACAAGGUCUCCGUUGGUGAACCAGCGGAGGGAUCAUUACAGAGUUGCAAAACUCCCUAAAACCAUUGUGAACCGACCCCCUAAAACCGUUUGCCUCGGCGGGCGGCACGGGCGCGUCCUGGACCUCCUUCGGGGGGCUCCUGUGGCACCCCGGCCGCUAUAAAGCCCGCCGUGGCCGAAAACCAAACUCUUGUUUUUAAACUUCUGGCCUCUCUGAGUUAACUGUACUUUAAAUAAGUCAAAACUUUCAACAACGGAUCUCUUGGUUCUG
rnacentral:misc_RNA from 1 species